AGAACUUUGAAGAGAGAGUUCAAGAGUACGUGAAACCGUUAAGAGCCAAACGGGUGGGACCUCGAAGGUCGAACCGGGGGGAUUCAGCUCGUCGGCUCAGGCCGGCCGGGUGCGGGUUUCGCUGUAGCGACCCAGGCAUUCUUGGGCGUGCCCGCACUCCGAGCCGGCGUCGGCGGGCGUAUUUCCCCCCGUGAUGUAGGUCGCCGCGACCCGUUGCUGGGGACGUCGAAGGCCCGGCUGGACUGGUACCCCGACGUCGCGCCUCCGUGCCGGCGAAGGGGGAAACCUCCGGUGUCCUGACUGCCCUGCGACGGUCGUGUAGCAGAGGGGCUCCUGUAGUCCACAAACCUCUCGCGGCGUGCAAAAGGUCGGUGACCCACCCGACCCGUCUUGAAACACGGACCAAGGAGUCUAACAUGUGUGCGAGUCAUUGGGCGCACUAAACCCAAAGGCGCAAUGAAAGUGAAAGGGGGGCGUCUCGCGGCGGUUCUGCCGUCGCGACGGCGUCCUCCGGGGCCGAUCCCUGACUGGGCGAUGCCGCCGUGGCCGUUCCAUACCAAAGCGGGGCCGCUGAGGCGGUGCGCGGGGUGAGACCCUUUCCCCCGUUAGCACCGCUGGUCCCGUGGGCGGCUCGGCGCGCUCGCGAGUCUCUCACCUGUACGCAGGGGGGCGCAGGCCCGGGACUUGCCAUGCGACGCCGUCGCGUGAAUCUGUUGUUGGCCUCAUCGGCUCUGCUUGGGCUCUCGGUUGGCGUGCCGCGUGUCUUUGGGCGACGCUCGGUGGGGGGCUUCGGCUUCCCCCGGGCUCGUCCGGCGCGGUGGCGCUCUCCGAUCCUGCUCUGUCCGGAGUGGUCUAGCGCGCGUGCUGUCGGCAAGUACCAUGAGCAGACAUGUUGGGACCCGAAAGAUGGUGAACUAUGCUUGGCCAGGAUGAAGCCAG
rnacentral:rRNA from 1 species